UUAACAACGAGGAAAUUACUUAACAUAUCAAGUCUACAUGACAUAUUACUUUUAUGAAUGACUUAUUCGAAAAGUAAUAUGUCAUGUAGACUUGAUAUGUUAAGUAAUUUCCUCGUUGUUAAAUAUAUUGUUAUACCUGGAUUAUAUUAUGCACUUCAGCUUGUUACAGCUUCAGCUUCAAGUUUGGCUGGUCCGAACUUCAAAGAAACUAUUUAAUGAAAAACUAUUUGUUAGAAAAUAGAUUUGUGUAUACUAUAUAUUAAUUUUGUAAAUAUAAA